rnacentral:rRNA from 1 species
UGGGGAAUCAUGGUCAAUGGGCGAAAGCCUGAACCUGCGACGCCGCGUGAGUGAUGAAGGUCGUAAGAUCGUAAAACUCUUUUCAGGGAUCUUAAAGCACAACCGUCAACAACGGCUGUGUGUGACUCUCCCUGGAAGAAGCCCCAGCCAACUACGUGCCAGCAGCUGCGGUAAUAAGUAGGGGGCGAGCGUUAUUCGGAAUUACUGGGUGUAAAGGGUAUGUAGGCGGCCCCUCAAGUCGCGUGUCAAAGUCCGGUGCUCAACGCUGGGU